rnacentral:sRNA from 1 species
UGAAAGUGCUCAAUGCUGAGGUGGUCA